rnacentral:rRNA from 1 species
UACAGAGGGUGCGAGCGUUACUCGGAAUUACUGGGCGUAAAGCGCGCGUAGGCGGCUUUGCAAGUCGGCUGUGAAAUCCCCAGGCUUAACCUGGGAACUGCAUUCGAGACUGCAUUGCUAGAGUAUGGGAGAGGGAAGUGGAAUUUCCGGUGUAGCGGUGAAAUGCGUAGAUAUCGGAAGGAACAUCAGUGGCGAAAGCGACUGCCUGGACCAAUACUGACGCUCAGGUGCGAAAGCGUGGGGAGCAAACGGG